CGGGUGAGCCACGGGAGUCCGGUACGCCGGGCUGAGAGGAGAGCGGGCGAGCUCUCGACCGUAAGCACCUGAUCCGGGUCAUGCCGGUGGAGGGAGGCACUACGGGCGACCU
rnacentral:ncRNA from 2 species